UCUUGGCAAAGCAGGAGAAAUCCUGUGACGCAAAGCUAGAGGGCCUAAGAAGAUAUUUAUGGUAGCCAGUUGC
rnacentral:ncRNA from 1 species